rnacentral:rRNA from 1 species
UGCAAUUCGUUGCACUAUCGUUAACUGAAUACAUAGGUUAACGAGGCGAACCGGGGGAACUGAAACAUCUAAGUACCCCGAGGAAAAGAAAUCAACCGAGAUUCCCCCAGUAGCGGCGAGCGAACGGGGAGCAGCCCAGAGUCUGAAUCAGCUUGUGUGUUAGUGGAACGGUCUGGAAAGUCCGACGGUACAGGGUGAUAGUCCCGUACACCAAAAUGCACAGGUUGUGAACUCGAAGAGUAGGGCGGGACACGUGGUAUCCUGUCUGAAUAUGGGGGGACCAUCCUCCAAGGCUAAAUACUCCUGACUGACCGAUAGUGAACCAGUACCGUGAGGGAAAGGCGAAAAGAACCCCGGCGAGGGGAGUGAAAAAGAACCUGAAACCGUGUACGUACAAGCAGUGGGAGCACCUUCGGGUGUGACUGCGUACCUUUUGUAUAAUGGGUCAGCGACUUAUAUUCUGUAGCAAGGUUAACCGUAUAGGGGAGCCGCAGGGAAACCGAGUCUUAACUGGGCGUUAAGUUGCAGGGUAUAGACCCGAAACCCGGUGAUCUAGCCAUGGGCAGGUUGAAGGUUGGGUAACACUAACUGGAGGACCGAACCGACUAAUGUUGAAAAAUUAGCGGAUGACUUGUGGCUGGGGGUGAAAGGCCAAUCAAACCGGGAGAUAGCUGGUUCUCCCCGAAAGCUAUUUAGGUAGCGCCUCGUGAACUCAUCUUCGGGGGUAGAGCACUGUUUCGGCUAGGGGGUCAUCCCGACUUACCAACCCGAUGCAAACUACGAAUACCGAAGAAUGUUAUCACGGGAGACACACGGCGGGUGCUAACGUCCGUCGUGAAGAGGGAAACAACCCAGACCGCCAGCUAAGGUCCCAAAGUCAUGGUUAAGUGGGAAACGAUGUGGGAAGGCACAGACAGCCAGGAUGUUGGCUUAGAAGCAGCCAUCAUUUAAAGAAAGCGUAAUAGCUCACUGGUCGAGUCGGCCUGCGCGGAAGAUGUAACGGGGCUAAACCAUGCACCGAAGCUGCGGCAGCGACACUAUGUGUUGUUGGGUAGGGGAGCGUUCUGUAAGCCUGCGAAGGUGUGCUGUGAGGCAUGCUGGAGGUAUCAGAAGUGCGAAUGCUGACAUAAGUAACGAUAAAGCGGGUGAAAAGCCCGCUCGCCGGAAGACCAAGGGUUCCUGUCCAACGUUAAUCGGGGCAGGGUGAGUCGACCCCUAAGGCGAGGCCGAAAGGCGUAGUCGAUGGGAAACAGGUUAAUAUUCCUGUACUUGGUGUUACUGCGAAGGGGGGACGGAGAAGGCUAUGUUAGCCGGGCGACGGUUGUCCCGGUUUAAGCAUGUAGGCUGAUUGUCCAGGCAAAUCCGGAUAAUCAAGGCUGAGGUGUGAUGACGAGGCACUACGGUGCUGAAGUAACAAAUGCCCUGCUUCCAGGAAAAGCCUCUAAGCAUCAGGUAACAUUAAAUCGUACCCCAAACCGACACAGGUGGUCAGGUAGAGAAUACCAAGGCGCUUGAGAGAACUCGGGUGAAGGAACUAGGCAAAAUGGUGCCGUAACUUCGGGAGAAGGCACGCUGGUGUGUAGGUGAAGUCCCUGCGGAUGGAGCUGAGACCAGUCGAAGAUACCAGCUGGCUGCAACUGUUUAUUAAAAACACAGCACUGUGCAAACACGAAAGUGGACGUAUACGGUGUGACGCCUGCCCGGUGCCGGAAGGUUAAUUGAUGGGGUUAUCCGUAAGGAGAAGCUCUUGAUCGAAGCCCCGGUAAACGGCGGCCGUAACUAUAACGGUCCUAAGGUAGCGAAAUUCCUUGUCGGGUAAGUUCCGACCUGCACGAAUGGCGUAAUGAUGGCCAGGCUGUCUCCACCCGAGACUCAGUGAAAUUGAACUCGCUGUGAAGAUGCAGUGUACCCGCGGCAAGACGGAAAGACCCCGUGAACCUUUACUAUAGCUUGACACUGAACAUUGAGCCUUGAUGUGUAGGAUAGGUGGGAGGCUUUGAAGCGUGGACGCCAGUCUGCGUGGAGCCAACCUUGAAAUACCACCCUUUAAUGUUUGAUGUUCUAACGUUGGCCCCUUACCGGGGUUGCGGACAGUGUCUGGUGGGUAGUUUGACUGGGGCGGUCUCCUCCCAAAGCGUAACGGAGGAGCACGAAGGUUAGCUAAUCCUGGUCGGACAUCAGGAGGUUAGUGCAAUGGCAUAAGCUAGCUUGACUGCGAGCGUGACGGCGCGAGCAGGUGCGAAAGCAGGUCAUAGUGAUCCGGUGGUUCUGAAUGGAAGGGCCAUCGCUCAACGGAUAAAAGGUACUCCGGGGAUAACAGGCUGAUACCGCCCAAGAGUUCAUAUCGACGGCGGUGUUUGGCACCUCGAUGUCGGCUCAUCACAUCCUGGGGCUGAAGUAGGUCCCAAGGGUAUGGCUGUUCGCCAUUUAAAGUGGUACGCGAGCUGGGUUUAGAACGUCGUGAGACAGUUCGGUCCCUAUCUGCCGUGGGCGCUGGAGAAUUGAGGGGGGCUGCUCCUAGUACGAGAGGACCGGAGUGGACGCAUCACUGGUGUUCGGGUUGUCAUGCCAAUGGCACUGCCCGGUAGCUAAAUGCGGAAGAGAUAAGUGCUGAAAGCAUCUAAGCACGAAACUUGCCCCGAGAUGAGUUCUCCCUGAGACUUUAAGUCUCCUGAAGGAACGUUGAAGACGACGACGUUGAUAGGCCGGGUGUGUAAGCGCAGCGAUGCGUUGAGCUAACCGGUACUAAUGAACCGUGAGGCUUAACCUU